AAUCAACGCUGGCGGCGUGCCUAACACAUGCAAGUCGAACGCGAAAGGGGCUUCGGCCCUGAGUAGAGUGGCGAACGGGUGAGUAACACGUGGGUGAUCUACCUUCGAGUGGGGGAUAACGUCCCGAAAGGGACGCUAAUACCGCAUGACGUUCUGGGUUUAAAGACCUGGAAACCAAAGCCGGGGACCGCAAGGCCUGGCGCUUGAAGAGGAGCCCGCGUCCGAUUAGCUAGUUGGCGGGGUAACGGCCCACCAAGGCGACGAUCGGUAGCCGGCCUGAGAGGGCGGACGGCCACACUGGGACUGAGUCACGGCCCAGACUCCUACGGGAGGCAGCAGUGGGGAAUUGUUCACAAUGGGCGCAAGCCUGAUGACGCAACGCCGCGUGGGGGAUGAAGGUCUUCGGAUUGUAAACCCCUGUCGAAUGGGACGAAAGACUCGCGAGUUAACACUGCGCGAGAGUGACGGUACCGUUAAAGGAAGCCACGGCUAACUCUGUGC
rnacentral:rRNA from 1 species